rnacentral:rRNA from 1 species
AUUGAACGCUGGCGGCAGGCUUAACACAUGCAAGUCGAACGAGUGGCGAACGGGGGGUUAAUAUAUCGGAACGUACCGAGUAAUGGGGGAUAACCAAUCGAAAGAAUUGCUAAUACCGCAUAUUAUUCGAGCGGCCGUUAACUGAUUAGCUAUUUGGUGGGGUAAAGGCCUCCCAAGGCGACGAUCAGUAGCGGGUCUGAGAGGACGAUCCGCCACACUGGGACUGGGACACGGCCCGGACUCCUACGUGAGGCAGCAGUGGGGAAUUUUGGACAAUGGUGGCAACCCUGCUCCAGCCAUGCCGCGUGUAUGAAGAAGGCCUUCGGGUUUUAAAGUACUUUUGUUAGGGAAACGGUACCUAAAGAGUAAGCACCGGCUAACUACGUGCCAGCCGCCGCGGUAAUAC